AAAAGAUUAAGUUAAUAAGGGCGCACGGUGAAUGCCUUGGCACUAGGAGCCGAUGAAGGACGGGACGAACACCGAU
rnacentral:rRNA from 1 species